UUAAAUAGUUGAGUAUCAUCCUGAAACAUAUUAGGAGAGGGGUCUUAUUAAAUAGUUGGGUAUCAUCCUCAAACAUAUUAGGAGAGGGGUCUUAUUAAAUAGUUGGGGUUCAUCCUCAAACAUAUUAGGAGAGAGGUCUUGUUAAAUAGUCGAGUAUCAUCCUCAAACUUAUUAGGAGAGGGGUCUUAUUAAAUAGUUGGGGUUCAUCCUCAAACAUAUUAGGAGAGAGGUUUUAAUAAAUAGUUGAGUAUCAUCCUCAAACAUAUUAGGAGAGAGGUCUUAUUAAAUAGUUGAGUAUCAUCCUCAAACAUAUUAGGAGAGGGGUCUUAUUAAAUAGUUUUGGUUCAUCCUCAAACAUAUUAGGAGAGGGGUCUUAUUAAAUAGUCGGGUUCAUCCUCAAACAUAUUAGGAGAGGGGUCCUAUUAAAUAGUUGGGUAUCAUCCUCAAACAUAUUAGGAGAGGGGUCUUAUUAAAUAGUUGAGUAUCAUCCUCAAACAUAUUAGGAGAGGGGUCUUAUUAAAUAGUUGGGUAUCAUCCUCAAACAUAUUAGGAGAGGGGUCAUAUUAAAUAGUUGAGUAUCAUCCUGAAACAUAUUAGGAGAGGGGUCUUAUUAAAUAGUUGAGUAUCAUCCUCAAACAUAUUAGGAGAGGGGUCUUAUUAAAUAGUCGAGUAUCAUCCUCAAACAUAUUAGGAGAGGGGUCUUAUUAAAUAGUUGAGUAUCAUCCUCAAACAUAUUAGGAGAGGGGUCUUAUUAAAUAGUUGAGUAUCAUCCUCAAACAUAUUAGGAGAGGGGUCUUAUUAAAUAGUCGAGUAUCAUCCUCAAACAUAUUAGGAGAGGGGUCUUAUUAAAUAGUCGGGGUUCAUCCUGAAACAUAUUAGGGGAGGGGUCUUAUUAAAUAGUUGAGUAUCAUCCUCAAACAUAUUAGGAGAGGGGCCUUAUUAAAUAGUCGGGGUUCAUCCUCAAACAUAUUAGGGGAGGGGUCUUAUUAAUACUUAAUCAUUCUUUUAAACACAAUUGAUAUAAAACUUAUUAACAUUCAAAACAUAUUUAUUUAAUUAGAACCUUGUUGUUGUUGUUGUUGUUGUAUUUUAAGAAUUAUGUAGAU